rnacentral:tRNA from 1 species
GGCUCUGUAGUGAAGUUCAUGGUGGGUUGCAAGCUCAUCGAUGUGCACUGACAGUGCACCGGAGUCU